CACGCAUGACACACUGCAUAUCAAUAAGCGGAGGAAAAGAAACUAACAAGGAUUCCCCUAGUAACGGCGAGUGAAGCGGGAAGAGCUCAAAUUUGAAAUCUUAAAGGGUUUCCCUUUACGAAUUGUAGUUUAAAGAAGUGUUUUCUGUUGAGGUUUUGGUAAAAGUUCUUUGGAAUAGGACAUCAUAGAGGGUGAGAAUCCCGUAUUUGACCUUUACUUUCAACUUUGUGAUACACUUUCAAAGAGUCGGAUUGUUUGGGAAUGCAGUCCAAAAUGGGUGGUAAAUUUCAUCUAAAGCUAAAUAUUGGCGAGAGACCGAUAGCGAACAAGUACCGUGAGGGAAAGAUGAAAAGAACUUUGAAAAGAGAGUUAAACAGUACGUGAAAUUGUCAAAAGGGAAGCGUUUGACACCAGUGUUGUUUUUCUGAAAAUCAAUUAAAGAACUGUUUAUGCUAAGCUGUUUAGACUUUAUCAGCUAUCUGUUUAGUUUUGAGCUUUUCUUUAAUGCACUUUUCAGUUAACAAGUCAACAUCAAUUUCUUUUGCUGUAAAAAGCUUGAGGAAGGUGGCUUGAGAUUCGUCUUAAGUGUUUAUAGCCUCUUGCCUAUGCAGUCGGAGAGAUUGAGGUCUGCAGCGUAGAUCCUUCGGGGCUAAAUGCAUUUGUGCUAAGUUAUAGCAUUUUAUAGACAACUUGUUGACUAUGAUUUGUCUUGUAGCUUACUCGCUUAUGUUAUUUUACCUACGCUUAGGAUGUUGAAUCUGUGCGAGACUAC
rnacentral:rRNA from 1 species